rnacentral:rRNA from 1 species
GUUGUUGCGGUAAAAAAGCUCGUAGUUGGAUUUCUGUCGAGGACGACCGGUCCAUACAAUGUAUGUGCAUCUGGCUCGGCUUCGGCAUCCUCUCGAAAAACGUUUCUGUGCUUGAUUGCAUGGAGCGGAGUUCGGGACUUUUACUUUGAGGAAAUUAGAGUGUUCACGGCAGGCUAUCGCCAGAAUACAUUAGCAUGGAAUAAUACUAUAGGAUUUCGGUUCUAUUUUGUUGGUUUCUAGAAUUGAAAUAAUGAUUAAUAGGGACAAUUGGGGGCAUUCGUAUCAUGGCGUCAGAGGUGGAAUUCUUGGAUUGCCGUGCGACGAACUACUGCGAAAGCAUUUGCCAAGGAUGUUUUCAUUGAUCAAGAACGAAAGUAAGGGGAUCGAAGGCGAUUAGAUACCGUCGUAGUCUUUACCACAAACUAUGCCGACUCGGGAUGGGACCUCGUUCUUUUAAGACUGGUUCCGCACCGUAUGAGAUAUCAAAGUUUUUGGGUUCCGGGGGGAGUAUGAGCGCAAGCUUGGAACUUAAAGGAAUUGACGGAAGGGCACCACCAGGAGUGGAACCUGCGGCUUAAUUUGACUCAACACGGGAAAACUCACCAGGUCCAGACAUAAUAAGGAUUGACAGAUUGAUAGCUCUUUCUUGAUUUUAUGGGUGGUGGUGCAUGGCCGUUCUUAGUUCGUGGAGUGAUUUGUCUGCUUAAUUGCGUUAACGAACGAGACCUUAACCUGCUAAAUAGUAGAGGCUAUUUCCGGAUAAGCUCUUUAUUUCUUAGAGGGACUUUAUGUGUUUCAAUAUGAGGAAGUUUGAGGCUAAAACAGGUCUGUGAUGCCCUUCGAUGUUCUGGGCUGCACGCGCGUUACACUGAUGCGUUCAACGAGUGUACAACCUU